UGAGUUCAUUGUGAUUCCAACAUCGAUUCUGAAGUCAAGGCACUCGAUUGCUGUUUGAUUUUGAGCUUGUCAAUGACAAGUUGUCAUCAUCGAUUUCGAAGUGGGUUUCUCUUUGAUUAAGGUGUUUACUCUUUGUUGCGAAGCCAAAGAUCUUUGUCUCAAUUCCGCCAAUGUUGUUUAAGAAUUGAGCUUGACAUCGUCGAUUUCCAAAGUGGGUUUAGAUUGUGAACACAGAACACUCGAUUCUUCUAUGGUACAAUGAUUAUGUUCGUGUCUAUGAUUCUAAUAAUUUCAGAUGUUAUACUGGUUUUGGAGUUCUCUAGUAUUACUGGUUUUGGAGUUCUUCAAACGUGUAUCACAUCAUGUGAUACUAAGUGCUUUUGAAUGCUUUGUUCUCAACGUGUCUUGAAAAGCUAAGCUAAAUGAAUUUCUCAAAAAUAUGUUUUGCUCUUGUUCUUUUGUUGAUUUUGCAAUGGUUUGUUUCACUUGUUCUUUCUCCUCAGGGUGAGUUGAGCUGCAGUUACUCUCUUUAAACUGUGUUUUACGGAUUGACAUAUAAGCUUCUUCUUCUUCUUCUGGCAGAAGCUUUAAAUUGG
rnacentral:lncRNA from 1 species